UACGUAGGGUGCAAGCGUUAAUCGGAAUUACUGGGCGUAAAGCGCACGUAGGCGGCUUUGUAAGUUAGAGGUGAAAGCCCGGGGCUCAACUCCGGAAUUGCCUUUAAGACUGCAUCGCUAGAAUUGUGGAGAGGUAAGUGGAAUUCCGAGUGUAGAGGUGAAAUUCGUAGAUAUCCGGAAGAACACCAGUGGCGAAGGCGACUUACUGGACACAUAUUGACGCUGAGGUGCGAAAGCGUGGGGAGCAAACAGG
rnacentral:rRNA from 1 species